rnacentral:lncRNA from 1 species
GCCGCCCGCCCCACCGGCCGCGCCGCCGCUGACCGCGCCGCAAGCUGCCAGCGCUGGGGGCCGGGCGCGGGUGAGACGGCGCGGGCCGCAAGCCGGGUGGGGACCGCCAGGUGUCCAGCGGGGCCCCUCCCGUCAGAGUGGUCGUGGGGGCCCUGCGGCCGGAGCCGAUUUCCAGCUCCCAGGUUGGGUCCUCCAGGUGGCGGCGCGCCGGGUUCCUCCAGCCCGCGGCCUGCAGGGAAGAAUCUGGCUCGCGAGGGCCUCCAGGGACCAGCCAGGCGUGGGUGGACACGGGGCUGCAAACACCAUACUGCCCCUUGCCUGUCUGUGGCUUGUGGGCUUUGGCUGAGAGUAGCCCCCACGAUUUGCUCCUGGAGCCUCGGCGCCAAGGUUUUCUGCCUCCAGCUGCUCUGGUUCCGCUGUGGAGCCCUAGGCAGGGCCGCGGGAAACAGGACUGGGAGGUGGUGUGAUUCAGUCCAGCAGGGUCUGUCUGCCUGCCUGUGGCCUGUGUCGCCUCGCGGGGUCUGCCCCUGUGACCGUUGCCCCCGGGGAUGCAGCAUGGAAGGAUUGGAACCGGAUGGCCUUGGCCUCACACCAAUUUGGCCCUCCAGGUACAGCCACCAUGGGUGACCCCCAGAGGUCCAUGCGGAUCCUAGUGACAGGGGGCUCUGGACUGGUGGGCAGAGCCAUCCAGAAGGUGGUGGAAGAUGGGGCUGGCCUUCCUGGAGAGGAAUGGGUGUUUGUCUCCUCCAAAGAUGCUGAUCUCACGUGAGUGGAGACCAUCCCAGAAGCAUUCCCCUCCUCCCCAUGCCCUCUCCAGACAGAAGAGCCUGGAGUCACAUCUGCUGACCCCCACCCCCAGCUUGGCCCCAGCCACAGUCUGGGCCCUCCCUGCCAGGUGUCUGGCCUGGCCUAGGUGUGCUGCUCUGGGCAGGCAUCCUCCCAUUCCUCUCUGCAAGCCAUUCCUUCACAGCUACCCACUGAACUCCACCACUUGUGCUUUUGGCUGCCCCUUCUGCAAUGGUCCCACUUAGUACUAGCCCCCAUUCCCCAAUACAGGGCCCUCCACGGGGCCCCUGACAACCCGGCUUCCUCCAGGGACACAGCACAGACCCAAGCCCUGUUCCAGAGGGUCCAGCCCACUCAUGUCAUCCACCUUGCUGCAAUGGUAGGGGGCCUGUUCCGGAAUAUCAAAUACAAUUUGGACUUCUGGGUAAGUUGGGGGGAGACAGCAAGCACUGGAGGACAGGAGCCCAGGUUCUGAGAACUUUCUAGCGGAUCUCCCACUCUCAGGUUCCUCUUCCUACCUCAUGGAGUCCCUGAGGAUGGGGGCUUGGCACAGCCUGAUGGGGGCAGCCCCUGAGGGACUCCCAGUGACACACAUUCGUGCUGCAGGCAGAAGGCCAUGUAGGUGGGUCUGGGGGCAUUUAGAUCAGUAAAAAGUCAACCUGCAAAAAGGGUUGGGGAUUUGAAAGAAGCUGUCAUUCUACGUGGCUUGAGGCUGGUUCCUGUUUCCUGAGCCAGGCCCACUGUGCUCGAUGAGGUGCAAGGAUGUCUGUGCCCUGGCAAUAGGGGGUAUAAUGUAAGGGCUGUACCCCUACUGGUUGGCCUCCUGCCUCUGGGCAGCAGCCUUGGCCUGACUGGCCUGUGCCAGCACUGGGAUCAGAAGCUUCCGCAAGACUCUGCCCAGAGUCACUGUCACCCAUGGCCCUCCUUGUCUAUCUCAGCCUCCCCCAUAAGUUGCCUGGCCACCAGCCUCUUCCCUGUUCUGAGGCCUGGCCAAAUGCCAUGGCCAUCUCAUGUCAAUUUAGGAAAGGGAACUGGGACUCAUGGGGGAUCAGGGUAGGCCACAGGGAAGGAGACCUGGGUGUGAGCUCCCCUGGGGUGGGCAGGGGAGGGGCCACUUCUGUGUAGUGGGAGCUUCCCACCCAGGGCUAGGUUAGGCCCCUGAGCUCCUGUCCCUUCUUCUGUGACCUGCCCUGCCUUCAGCAACCCCAGGCAGGCAGAACAGAACCAGACCCUAUGUGGCUAUGAUAGGGAUAGUGGCUUCAGUAAGGUCAGUGCUGAGAGGCUUUGUCUUGUCCCAGGAGGAGUUAGGACGAACAGGCACAGGUACUGCCUAUGUCUGAGGGGCCAGAGUAUGUCCCCACCUCUGUCUCUGGAGGAGUGGAAAGGGGCUGGGUUCCUGCCUGGGCAGCCUGACCUGCCCUGCUCCACCCUGCAGAGGAGGAAUGUGCACAUCAACGACAAUGUCCUGCAUUCUGCCUUCGAGGUGGGCGUCUGCAAGGUGGUCUCCUGCCUGUCCACCUGUAUCUUCCCUGACAAGACCACCUACCCUAUUGAUGAGACCAUGGUGAGGGGGGCCUAUGUGGGGUAGGACUUGGUCUGUGGGUGGAACCUGGAAGUGGGAGCCUCAGUGCAUCUUUUGCUCCCAUAGAUCCACAAUGGGCCACCCCACAACAGCAAUUUUGGGUACUCCUACGCCAAGAGGAUGAUUGACGUGCAGAACAGGUCCUCCUCUGCUGUCUUGGCCAGGCCUAACCAGGAGUGGGGGAGGGCUUAAGCUCUGGUGGUGGGGCUAGCUGGGUGGCUGCCUUCUUGAGUCUGGUGUUUACAUCUGUGAGAGACCAGCUGUGGGUGGGGUCUGUGUCCUGGGAUGAGGCAGGAGACCCUGGGCCUCUGCAGGGCCUACUUUCAGCAGCAUGGCUGCACAUUCACCGCGGUCAUCCCCACCAACGUCUUUGGGCCCCACGACAACUUCAACAUCGAAGACGGCCAUGUGCUGCCCGGCCUUAUCCACAAGGUGCACCUGGCGAAGAGUGAGUGCGGCUGCCCAGCCCGUGCCAUCCAGGGUUCCCAGGGUUCUGGCCUGACGGGGUCCCUGGGCUCCCAUCUAGACAGCUCAUGGCAGCUGGAGUGCUACUGACAAUUGCUCUUGCCCCUAAUCUGCAGGCAGUGGCUCUGCCCUGACAGUGUGGGGUACAGGGAAGCCACGGAGGCAGUUCAUCUACUCGCUGGUGUGUAUAAGGCUGGCCUGCUGGGUUGAUGGGGAGGCAGUGGCAUGAGGGGGUCUGGGUAGAGUCCCUGGGGGUGCCUGGGAGUCCCUGGUCCAGCUGUGAGCUCAGAAAGAGAAAGGGCUGCCUGGAGGAGGAACCCCAUACCCUCCUGGGUGAGCCAUGGCUGUGCCCCCAGUGAGCAGAGAUAGCAGUGUGGCCCCCUGGCUCCCUCAUCUGACUGUCACUGUGGGCUCUGACCUGCCUGCCUGCCUGACCUCCAGGACUUGGCCCGGCUCUUCAUCUGGGUCCUACGGGAGUACAGUGAGGUGGAGCCCAUCAUCCUCUCAGGUUGGCACCACGGCCCCCACACCCAUUCCUACAGUGGGACAAGACCCAGUUUGUCUUUGAGGGCUGGCAGAGGAGUGGGGGCAGAAUACCCACGGGAGGCUGGUAGGAAGCCUAAUAGGCCACUGCCCAUUGCUCCCACAGUGGGCGAGGAAGAGGAGGUCUCCAUCAAGGAGGCAGCUGAGGCUGUGAUGGAGGCCAUGGGCUUCCACGGGGAAGUCACCGUAUCCUUUGGGGCACUCUAGAGGAACUGAAGCCCAGGUGGGACACUCGGCCUAACACCAUUUUGUUGCCUGGUGGUACUUGCCCUGGCAGCUGGAGGGGGGUCUGUCUUGGCCAGGCUCCCUCCCCAGGAAAGGCAGGUUUAAGGUAGCGAGGAGGGGGGGUGUACCUUCUGCUGUGGCCUUGACCAAGGUGCCUAGUAUGAUACAACCAAGUCAGACGGGCAGUUUAAGAAGACAGCCAGCAACACCAAGCUUCGGGGCUACCUACCUGACUUCCGGUUCACACCUUUCAAGCAGGGUGAGCCCCUCCCCCUCCAGUGUCCUCCCCUUGGCAACCUCCUAUCCCCCGGCCCCUCCUUGGCUUUGGACCCUCCUCCACUGCUCCUCCCUUUUGCUCCUUGCUGUGGCUUCUGCUUUCCUACUGUGAUGUGGAGGUGGGGUGCUCUGCAGAUUUGGUCACCAGGCCUGGUCACCUGGGAAUCAGGGCGUUGCAGCUUGGAGGAAGUGACUUCCCUGUGUCCCUGGGACCUGUACCCUCCCUGGGUCCUGUAGGUCACUGUGGUCUUGGCCCUCACCUGCUCACCAGCCCUCACUUGUCCACCUGCAGCUGUAAAGGAGACCUGUGCCUGGUUCACUGACAACUAUGAGCAGGCUCGGAAGUAAAGCUGUGCAGACGUGCAGGCACUCAGCUGGCAAAGCCCAGUGCCCACCACCUUCAGACCUUGCCAGGAACCAAGGACGCUGCUCAGCAACCCGGGGCCACGUCCCCUUGCCUCUGCCAGGGGUUCCAGGCGGUUGUCCAGUUGGGAGCCAUUUGUCAAGAGGCUCAUUCUUGUGUGAGUCAAGGCCUGUCCCUGCCUGGGACCUCACCCCCCACCGCCCUGGCCUCAGUGCACUCUGGGCCUCAGUGCACUCAGUGCUUUGUCUGGGGGCCGGUAAAGUACGUUUCCAUUGCCCUGUUUUGGGCUUUUGCAGGCUGUGAUGGAGCUCUGUGCUCAGCUAUUGCCCACACCCAA